ensembl:lncRNA
CUCGGCCCCGCGAGACAGGUGAUACCGAGCGCAGCCUGGCACGUGACGGCAGGGAUUGGGGCUAUUUUUGCUUGCGACGCUCGGCGACGUUUUGAUGAGCAGCGCUCUUUGGUGAGACGUGCAUCAGCGGGGAUGGGGUCAUGAAACGCAGCUGGGUGCCCGCACGGCACGUGGCAGGCGUGGGUCCUCCUUGUCGCUCCGCAGAAGAACCCUAAGGCCGUAGCAAGCAUCACAGCGCGGUCGUGGUGGGCGGAAAGAAAUGGCUUGCGCUGUCAUCGCGGUGCUCUAUGUGCUCCCGAUGGCAUUGUGUAACCCUGCCCUGCUCAGCCACAGCCUCACGUCCCGGCCAGCAUCUGAAGGUCAGCUGCCUAGCUGGGAAUGAAGCAGUGUGAGUUAAAAGCAAAAGGCUUUUUCCUAGAGUUCUCUGCUGCUAAACCAAAGGGAAUUUGUUAUCUCUGCUGCCUGUCAGUGCAGCAAGAAUGAAUAAAGGCAGGUUGAUCCUUUUACUUUCCUUAAGCAGGAUGCAUCUGUAUGACUGCACCCGGUGAUUGGAAGCUGACAGGCAGCGAUCAUUCUCAGUAAAUUGUAUGCUCACCAAAAGAUUUCAGAUGUGCACCUCAUUCAGUUAAGCACCAUUCCCUGUUUUACUCCAUUGUCCUACAAGGCGUAUCCCCCAAUUUUGCUAUAGCUUUUUCAAUCAUCUCUUCCCGUAAUAAAGUUCAGGCUCCAGAGUUGUACUGUAUAUUAGCAUCAAUUUUACAUUGCUAUAAAGAACAUUUUUUGUAGCACCUCUUCGCCAGAUGUCAUCUGGGAGCGUUCCUGGCUCUUCUGGAGAGAACAUGAUUUACUAUCUCAUCACUGGGGUUGCUGCAUUCGGUGCUUUUUUCUAUACCUACAAAGUAGUCGGUUCAUCCCGUAGCAACUAUGUUGAACAUGUGAAUGUUCUCCACGAGAGAGGUCAGAAACACAAAGCUGACUCAUACAAGGGUGAUGAAGAGGAGACAGCUGAAGUCGCUGGAGCAGACGUGGCCACAGAAGAAGCCGAUGCAGCAACCGCUGCUGGACCUGCAGCACAGGAGGAGAGUUCUGGGGUUACCCCAGAAACUGGAGGAGAGAGUGACUUGCCGGCUGCAGACACAUCCACUGCUGUGGAGGGAGCACAGCAGGAAGCUGCUGCUAAUUCAGAAGCUCCUGCAGUGCAAGAAACUGUGAGUGAAGUCUUGGAUGUUGCAGCUUCUUCUGCCCAUGAGGAAAACUUAGACAGUGUCAAGGAAGAAGUAGCCUCAGCAGCUCAAGAGAUGUCUGACACAGCCACGAGGAGCCAGGACACUGAUGCUGAGGAGUCGGGGAGAACUUCAGAAGUUUCUGAGGAGGAGAAGGCACCUGAAGAAGUCACUAAGGAACCGUAAAGCACUGAUGCCUUUGAAAAGUUUACCAGAAAAGUCUGUGGCGAUCAACCAGCUGAUUCCUGUGAGAAACCUCAGGCUCUUCCUUGGAGACAUAAAACAAGCUGUGCAGUUUGUCACACCACACGUUACAUGUUAGGACCAGUGUUCAUUGCUGCAACAGACAACCUAAUGCGACUUAACUUAGUUAGACGGAUGCUGCUGUCAUUAACAACUCUGCUUUAGAAAGUAGCACCCAGCACCAAGUGCCAGAGCACCACCCAGCAUGCAACAGAUAGAUGUGCUAAGAGAAGCAGUAGGCUUCACUGUAUCCCUGCCAGGUGAGCUUGUUCUAGUUCCUGGUUGUCCAGGUGUCUACUUUCAUUUCUUUCUUUUGAUCGAAACUGCGGUGCUUAGUUAUGCUGCCAUCACAUUCCAUACCAAAAUGAAAGUUAAAAGUUCUAAGGAAGUUAAAACCUUAUGUGAAUUACCUGUUUGCAAUUAUAACCAUAGGACUUUUGGCUGUACAAAACACCUGGUUUUCUUCCUGUGUAAGCAUUUUACAUGCUAAGCUUCCUUGCACCAUAGAAGACCAGAGUAAACAUUCUUAAAGCUUCUGCUCUGUGAACAAGAACUGUGUGCAUGUAGUAGCAAUAAGUACUGUAUUGCAACUUGACAGAAACAAUGAGCAUCAAAAGAAAGCUGCUUGAGGUUGUCUUUAUUGCUCAGAGUGGUGGCUCCUACUUGGGGGUGCUGAGCCCCAUUCCUACCAAACUUUGUUUGAUUUGUUAUCUUUGAGUUGUUCUGCCUUAGCAGUAUGUGGCAUUGAAGAACAAACAAACAACAGAGUGUUGAGAGAAGACUCUUUGUACAAAUGAGGAGAAAUAUAGGCUGUUGUGAAGCUCCCCUGAGAGCUGGCAUGUGGCCUGCAAAAUCUCAAUAGGUGGCUAUGGCACAAGUAUUCAAAUGGACAAGGACCUUUAGGGUCUAAUGAGGAAUAGAAUGGCUAUGGAAAUCAGAACAGUA